CGUGUCGUGAGAUGUUGGGUUAAGUCCCGCAACGAGCGCAACCCUUGUUAUUAGUUGCCAGCAUUAAGUUGGGCACUCUAAUGAGACUGCCGGUGACAAACCGGAGGAAGGUGGGGAUGACGUCAAGUCAUCAUGCCCCUUAUGACCUGGGCUACACACGUGCUACAAUGGGCAGUACAACGAGAAGCAAGCCUGCGAAGGCAAGCGAAUCUCUGAAAGCUGUUCUCAGUUCGGACUGCAGUCUGCAACUCGACUGCACGAAGCUGGAAUCGCUAGUAAUCGCGGAUCAGCACGCCGCGGUGAAUACGUUCCCGGGCCUUGUACACACCGCCCGUCACACCAUGGGAGUCUGCAAUGCCCAAAGCCGGUGGCCUAACCUUCGGGAAGGAGCCGUCUAAGGCAGGGCAGAUGACUGGGGU
rnacentral:rRNA from 1 species